rfam:Salmo salar isolate Sally breed double haploid chromosome ssa03, whole genome shotgun sequence.
CAUGGCUCAGUCGGUAGAGCAUGGCGCUUGCAACACCAAGGGCUGUGGGUUUGAUUCCCGCUG